rnacentral:rRNA from 1 species
CCUGGUUGAUCCUGCCAGUAGUCAUAUGCUUGUCUCAAAGAUUAAGCCAUGCAAGUCUAAGUAUAUGCUGUAUAGUUGAGACUGCAGAUGGCUCAUUAAAACAGUUAUAGUUUAUUUGAUGGUCCCUUACUAAUUGGAUAACCGUAGUAAUUCUAGAGCUAAUACAUGCAUAAAACCGGUGUACUCCGGUGUGUUUAUUAGAUGAAACCAAUUGCCCUAUGGGUAUUAGGUGAUUCAUAGUAACUUCUCGGAUCGGAUGUCUUCGCGACGCCGACAGAUCAUUCAAAUUUCUGCCCUAUCAGCUUUCGAUGGUACGGUAGUGGCCUACCAUGGCGGUGACGGGUGACGGAGAAUUAGGGUUCGAUUCCGGAGAGGGAGCCUGAGAAACGGCUACCACAUCUAAGGAAGGCAGCAGGCGCGUAAAUUACCCAAUCCUGACGCAGGGAGGUAGUGACAAGAAAUAUCAAUAGAUUGAACACAGUUCUGUCUAAUUGGAAUGAGUACAUUCUAAACCCCUUAACGAGAACCAAUUGGAGGGCAAGUCUGGUGCCAGCAGCCGCGGUAAUUCCAGCUCCAAUAGCGUAUACUAAAGUUGUUGCAGUUAAAAAGCUCGUAGUUGGAUUUCUGUGCACCGGUUGUUGGUCCAACUCUAUGAGUUGGAGUUUUCAUCGGUGUACAUCCUGUUGGCAGACACGUGCUGGCAUUCAUUUGUCGGUGCGGGGAGACCACUCGUUUACUUUGAGAAAAUUAAAGUGUUCAAAGCAGGCAAUCGCUUGAAUACAUUAGCAUGGAAUAAUAGUAUAGGACUUUGAUCUUAUUUGUUGGUUUUAAAGAUCAAAGUAAUGAUUGAUAGGGACAGUUGGGGGCAUCAGUAUUCUGAAGCGAGAGGUGAAAUUCUUGGACCUUCGGAAGACUAACAACUGCGAAAGCAUUUGCCAAGGAUGUUCUCUUUAAUCAAGAACGAAAGUUAGGGGAUCGAAGACGAUCAGAUACCGUCGUAGUCUUAACUAUAAACUAUGCCAGCUAGGGAUCGGUGAACGUUGUUUCGACUUCAUCAGCACCUUAUGAGAAAUCAAAGCAUUUGGGUUCCGGGGGGAGUAUGGUCGCAAGGCUGAAACUUAAAGGAAUUGACGGGAGGGCACCACCAGGAGUGGAGCCUGUGGCUUAAUUUGACUCAACACGGGAAAACUUACCAGGUCCGGACAUAGUAAGGAUUGACAGACUGAAGGUCUUUCUUGAUUCUAUGGGUGGUGGUGCAUGGCCGUUCUUAGUUGGUGGAGUGAUUUGUC